rnacentral:tRNA from 1 species
AAAAAGAUAAGCUAAUUAAGCUACUGGGCUCAUACCUCAUUUAUAAAGGUCUUAAUCCUUUUCUUUUUA